UACGUAGGGGGCAAGCGUUGUCCGGAAUUAUUGGGCGUAAAGAGCGUGUAGGCGGUCCGGUAAGUCAGCUGUGAAAGUCAAGGGCUCAACCCUUGAAAGCCGGUUGAUACUGUCGGGCUAGAGUCCGGAAGAGGCGAGUGGAAUUCCCGGUGUAGCGGUGAAAUGCGCAGAUAUCAGGAGGAACACCGGUGGCGAAGGCGGGUCUCUGGGCCGUAACUGACGCUGAGGAGCGAAAGCGUGGGGAGCGAACAGG
rnacentral:rRNA from 1 species